rnacentral:ncRNA from 1 species
GGGUGUCACGCUGCAUUCCGCAGACGACAGGACUAACGUUGGUCGGGCCGCCAACG